rnacentral:lncRNA from 1 species
AGCCGCCUCUCCUUCCGGAGCACCCCUCUGUCUGUCGGGGACUUGGUUCCUCUGGGCCUGGCCUCCAUCCGCCUGUAGAACGAGACCGUAGAAGCGGAGAUCGCCAGUCUGGGACACAGAACACACGACGAGCCUGUCCUGAACUCGGCUCAGCCCCUGACCUAGCCCUGCGCCCUCAGCUUCCCCCAGCAGAGAUUAAGGGAUGGUGCAGACAGGGUCAAUCCUCCGGGCAACCAGCGGGCCCCAGACCACCGCAGAACAAUAGCCAGCCCAGAGCCGGCCCUUUCACCGCUGGCUUUGACAGCCGCGGAACAACAUCAACAGAGAAACAGAGAAGGACUUUAUUAAAGGCUCACUGUGGGCCGGGAACAGGCUGGGGAGACAUACAAACAAGACAACUAAGGAAAGAGUGUGUUCAGCAGUCAGUGUACGGUGGACCAGGAUCACAUCAGCCUGAAGCAGUGAUGCUAUCACUUCCUCCUCCCUCUAAGAAGCUACCAGCCUUGGUCAUUUGGUCAAAGGGGAAAAAUCUGCUGGUUUCCAAGUAUUUCUUUUAGUGGGGAAGAGAGCCACAGUAAGCAUGGUGAUUUCUCCAGUAAAGCAUGUGUGCUCUGUUGCUAUCCGUGCCAAGGGGAUGUUCUCUGGAGGUCCAGGAGCUGACCACCUUCUCAUUUCUCACCCCAGGUAUGGUAAGAGCCUGCGUCCGAUGCUGUUUCAGGCUGUAGCUUGUAUGUGGUAAAGAUACAUAAGUAUUUAGUAUUCACAAAGUCCAUUUCUUCCUCAGAAGUAGUCCUUGGAUGCCUCAUUAUAGCACGGAGUCUAUCCUGGGGUUACCAAGGCUAGGCCAGUGAAGCAUAGAUCCAGAAGACCCCAUGAGAUGAAAAUGUUGGUCCUGAUAUGCCCAGGAGUUCACUGCUAAAAGGAAAAC